GAUUGCUUUCUGGUAGUUCUCGGUCGAAAAUUUUCUCAUUCUGUUAAUUGUUUGGAAGAUAUGGAUGAGUGAGUGAUUUAUUGCCCAUUGGUUGAAUUGGAUGGUUGUGUGACUGGCUUGUUUAGUGUCUUCCUUGAUGCAAGGGGAAUUGUGAUUAUGAGGAUUACUCAGCUUGCCGUCUAAUUUGUAGAAAUUUGUACAUGGUUUUGUGUUCACUGCCUUUCUUGCUUGUAUCUCUAGUUUGUGGAUAAUGAAGUAGAAAAUGAGCAGUAAUGAUGAUGAAAAUGGGCUUUUAGUUUGGUUGAUGCAUUUGGGGCUUUUAGUUUGGUUGAUGCAUUUGGUUUCUGUUGUGAUUUAAGUCGUUUCGAGCACUGCUUGCAUUUAACAUAAUGAUGCUAUACUGUGAUAGGGAUACACACAUAAGUUUGAGAUUGCAGAGACAUGUUUUGGAGAGAUGGGGAGCCAUUUAGGAUAAUUGGAGGAGACUUACAUUAUUUUCGAGUGCAUCUUGAGGUUUGUGGUGGAUUAAAUGAGUCGUACGUUGAGCUGAAGAGGCUUGUGAAUUCACAAGAAAAGUUGUACCAUAUGGCUAGCUAGUUGCAUAUUUAAUAUGUUUAGUAUUUUUGUAAGGCAUAAUAGUAUAGAUAGAGCAGUUGUUGAAUUUUGACUAUAUUCAAAUCUUGUAUGAAUUCUUUUUUAUGAUAAUAAUAUAAAAUUAAAUA